GGAUAUCCCCUGGUAUCCAUUGGUAUCCAGCGUGUCCUCGGCAUCCAUGACCUGUGGAGGCGGCGGGGAGAGUGUUGUGAUACCAAUUCCUGUCCUGGACAAUGAGGCUCUGACUGCAGCUGGAGUUCCACAUAUGCACAGCUGGGCUUCCUCUCUGCUGGAUUUGUUGUCUCCCAGCAGAGCUUCUGAUGCCUCCAGUCAAGUUCCACUGGCGCCAUCUGCUCUCCAAAAUUCAUGAGAAAAAGAAUGUAUUCCAGGUGCACAGACUACUGAUCAGUUUGCGUUUGCCAGGACAAAAGGAACGUGGAACAAUCCUCACAUUCACACUGUUUCAGAGAUCAUUUUCCCUGUAAAAAAUCAUGGCCUGUCAGUGAACUGGAACAGCAAAUAAAUAAUUAACAUAGAAUACAUUACAAACAAAGAUGAAUAUAAUUGAGUGGUAGAAGAGCUAUGUGUCCAAAAUUUUACUUUGGGGAAAGGAGGAGAAUGCUUGAUUAUUUUCUUUUUUCCCUGUACUUUUUAUAACUGCAAGAUACCCAGGCAGGAUGGAAUUUUCUUGCUAUCCCCUGUCAUAACUUUCUUUUGAUUAGUAAGAACCCCAAGAAAUUGGUGCAGUUUGCCACAGUUGUUUAGGAUAAUCUUGUACAAAGACUAUUUAGGAAAACUGUGAAUGCUUUAUAGGCUUUCAGAUUUGCCAGGUUUGAUAGGAUGAAUCUGUGCUUCUGGGAGUUAAUUUUUUUAAAGAUAAUAUGUUAUAAUUUUCAUAGUAUUUUACCUGCCUCUCUCAGUCCGAUCCAGACUGGUCAGUGGGACAGAGAUUGUUUCUUGUGGCAAAAUAUGUGUAGUAUUUAUUCUCACUUGGGCUGUGGUAAAUAAUAAUAAUAUUCAAAUCCCUGAUGAAAUCUUAUCCAGUUGUUGCAGCCAGAACUGGCACAUCAGUGAGUGCUGUUGGGACCUGACUGGGAAACCACUGAGGACAAGGAUUUGUGUGGCAGAGUUGUAUAAAUCGCUUCCAUGUUUGAAUCUUCCAUGUGGUAAUAAAAAAACCCCUGCAAGAUCAUUAAAA